GAGAAAACAUACUUGAUCUCAUCAUCACGAACAUGGGAUCACAAUGUUCAACACUGGAAGUAUACCCCUCACUGGUGAGAUCAGAUCAUAAACUGAUCUCGCUGGAGGUCCACAUCCCGCCCCCACCUGAAAUAAAAAAGACCACAGU